rnacentral:rRNA from 1 species
AACGCUAGCUACAGGCUUAACACAUGCAAGUCGAGGGGAAACGACAUCGAAAGCUUGCUUUUGAUGGGUGUCGACCGGCGCACGGGUGAGUAACGCGUAUCCAACCUGCCCACCACUUGGGGAUAACCUUGCGAAAGUAAGACUAAUACCCAAUGACGUCUCUAGAAGACAUCUGAAAGAGAUUAAAGAUUUAUCGGUGAUGGAUGGGGAUGCGUCUGAUUAGCUUGUUGGCGGGGUAACGGCCCACCAAGGCGACGAUCAGUAGGGGUUCUGAGAGGAAGGUCCCCCACAUUGGAACUGAGACACGGUCCAAACUCCUACGGGAGGCAGCAGUGAGGAAUAUUGGUCAAUGGGCGAGAGCCUGAACCAGCCAAGUAGCGUGCAGGAAGACGGCCCUAUGGGUUGUAAACUGCUUUUAUAAGGGAAUAAAGUGAAUCUCGUGAGACUUUUUGCAUGUACCUUAUGAAUAAGGACCGGCUAAUUCCGUGCCAGCAGCCGCGGUAAUACGGAAGGUCCGGGCGUUAUCCGGAUUUAUUGGGUUUAAAGGGAGCGUAGGCCGGAGAUUAAGCGCGUUGUGAAAUGUAGACGCUCAACGUCUGCACUGCAGCGCGAACUGGUUUCCUUGAGUACGCACAAAGUGGGCGGAAUUCGUGGUGUAGCGGUGAAAUGCUUAGAUAUCACGAAGAACUCCGAUUG